ACACUGUCUCCUAAACUGACCUCGAACUCGUCACCCUCCAGCGUUUGCCUCCAAAUGCUGAAAUUUCAAGCAUGGGGCAUGAUUCCCUGCUGUGUUGUUUGGUUUUAUUGGUGAUCCCCGUUCUAGCCCAGGAUGCCAUGGUGUCUGUGGCAAUCCUCAACCUCUCUAGUCCUGAGAUGACAGGUCUGUACAACCAUGUUCACCUGUCAUCUGCUUCUGAGACUUCCCGGCAUUAGUCAUAACUGCACUGGCUCCCCAACCCUGACCCCAGGGCUUUCCUGGCUGCUGGCGAAAGUGUGGACCAUUUGGAAAGUUUGCCAUUGUGUGAGAAAAGUCUACAUUGGAAAUACAGGGAAAUGCUUGAGGCAAUACAUCCCGGCAGGGUUGCUCACACCUGGAAUCCAUCUCCUGCCUCUGGCCUCCGGAGACUGCUGGAAUUUGAGGUCAACCAGGAACACCCUCUGAGGCACUGUCCCAAAACAAAAUUGCCCCCCCCCCCCUUGCUUGCUUUCAAUUGCUGUAAUAAACACCUGGAACAAAAGCAACUUGAAGCCAGGCAGUGGGCAGUGGUGGCGCUCGCCUUUAAUCCCAGCACUUGGGAGGCGGAGGCAGGUGGAUUUCUGAGUUCGAGGCCAGCCUGGUGUACAAAGUGAGUUCCAGGACUACAUAGAGAAACCCUGUCUCGAAGCCCACCUCCCCCCCCAAAAAAGCAACUUGGGCAGGAAAGGGUUUAUCUCACCUUACACAGUGCUUCCUGAAGUCAGGGCAGGAACCCGGAGGAGGCAGGAACUGAAGCACAGUCCAAAGAGGUUCCCGUUCUCCUCCUACCUCCCAGGGCCAUCAGCCCAGGGUGAUGCCAUCCCACAGCGGGCUGAGCUCUCUCGUGCCAAUCACUGAGAAAAAUGCCCCCCACUGACUUGUCCCCAGGCCAGUCUGACAAUAGAGGUAUCUUCCCAGAUGACUCUAGUUUGUGUGGAGUUGAGGGAACCAAAAACCAGGAAACCAGAAACUGGGGGUGAUAAUGCAUACCUCUGUGCCUCUUGGAACUAGCAAAGUGAAAGCAGGGGUCAGAAGUUCAAGGUCAGAAGUCUGAGAGAUGGCUCGGCAGUCCAGAGCAUUUGCAGGCCUUGCUUUUUAAUAUCCCUGCACCUGUAUUAGAGGCUCACAACCUGCUGUAGCUCAGGUUCAAGGAGACUCAGCGCCCUGUUCUGCCCUCUGAGGACGCUGUGUGCAUAUCGCACACAGACAUGCGGGCAAACACUUAGACACAUAAAAAUGAAAAAGACAUUUAAAAGUUCAAGAUCAUUGGCUAGGUAGUAUGAGGCCAGCCUGAGCUACAGGAGACGGGAAACAGGGAGGCUGAGACCACAGUUCAGUUGAUAGUUUUCACUUAGUAAGAAUAAGACUCUGGGAUCAAUCACUAGCACGGUGGAAAUAGGACCCACAUCUUAGUAUUAGGGAGACAGAGGCGGGAGAACCCAAGAAGUUCAUGGCUGUCCUUAUCCUUAGUCACAUAGUCAUAGGCCAGCCAGACGCCAUCUUAAUAUAUAUGAAUAUAUGGCUGGAGAGAUAGUUCAGCGGUUAAGAGUACUGACUGCUCUUCUAGAGUUCCUGAGUUCAAUUAUCAACAUGGUGGCUCACAACCAUCUGUAAUGGGAUGCCUUCUUCUGGUGUGCCUGAAGACAGCGACAGUGUACUCUCACACACACACAUAUAUGCACAAAACAACCUACUAGUGACUUUGACCUCUUUUCCUUUCACUCAGGAACCUGAGACAGGAGGAUCUUGAGUUGGAGUCCAGCCUGGGCAUUAUUGAAACCUGAAAGACCUGAUAAAAAGUAUUUUCCGACUGUAACCAAGGUCCUCCGUGUUGGUCAACUGGACUUUCUGACAGGGUUUACUGUUCUAGUCUUUUUCUUCACUAAUUAAUUAUUAAUUACUGUGGAGUUAACCGGUCUCCAGUUCACAACUAUCUGGGCUCUGACAUAUAAAGAGAUCACAAGCUCAGGAGUAACUGGUUUGCUAAAGUGAUUGCAGCAAAAAGCCCAAGGACCUGAGUUCGAUCCUUAAAAGCCAUGUUUUUGAAAAGUUGGGUGUUUUACUGGCUGGUUUUGUGUGUCAACUUGACACAGGCUGGAGUUAUGGAGAAAGGAGCUUCAGUUGGGGGAAGUGCCUCCAUGAGAUCCAGCUGUGGGGCAUUUUCUCAAUUAGUGAUCAAGGGGGGAGGGCCCCUUGUGGGUGGUGCCAUCUCUGGGCUUGUGUUCAUGGGUUCUAUAAGAGAGCAGGCUGAGCAAGCCAGGGGAAGCAAGCCAGUAAGGAACAAACCUCCAUGGCCUCUACAUCAGCUCUUGCUUCCUGACCUGCUUGAGUUCCAGUCCUGACUUCCUUUAGUGAUUAACAACAGUAUGGAAGUGUAAACUCAAUAAACCCUUU